rnacentral:lncRNA from 1 species
GUAAAGACAUCUUCAGCAAGAUAUGAAGUGCAGUCAGCAACACACAAGUUUGCUAAAUCAAAGUUGCUAUCACCAGUAGGUGAUAUAUUCACAGCCAUUUAUCACCAGAAGGUGAUAGUUUCACUGCACAUCAUCACCAGAAGGUGAUUGCUUCGUUGCACAUCAUCACCAGAAGGUGAUUGUGGUCAUCACUGCAUGGGUUAGAAAAGUAUCACCAAAUAGUGAUAACUUUUACUGUAGAGGGUCCUCUUUGUCCAAACUCCUUUUCUCCUCAACGCAUUGACAUCAAAGUCCGAACCUUUCUUUCCCUCUCUGCCUU